rnacentral:RNase_P_RNA from 1 species
AGUACGCCGGACAGUCGCGGGGACAUGGCGAAAGCCCGUCCGUGAGGAAAGUCCGGGCUCCAUAGGGCGAGGAUAGCGGGUAACGCCCGCCGAAGGCGACUUCAGGAAAAGUGCAACAGAGAUAUACCGCCCGCCGGCUUUCGCCGGCGUGGUAAGGGUGGAAAGGCGAGGUAAGAGCUCACCCGACGGCGUGUGAAAGCGUCCGUCGCUGUAAACUCUAUCCGGAGCAACACCGGUAUGGGAGCAACAGGCUGGCCCGGCCGCUCCCGAGGUGGCUGGAGCGCACCGGCGACGGUGCGCGUAGAUAGAUGACUGUCAAGACAGAACCCGGCUUACAGGCAUACUCG